rnacentral:rRNA from 2 species
AGAGCUUGCUCUCAAGAAGUUAGCGGCGGACGGGUGAGUAACACGUGGGUAACCUGCCCAUAAGACUGGGAUAACUCCGGGAAACCGGGGCUAAUACCGGAUAACAUUUUGAACUGCAUGGUUCGAAAUUGAAAGGCGGCUUCGGCUGUCACUUAUGGAUGGACCCGCGUCGCAUUAGCUAGUUGGUGAGGUAACGGCUCACCAAGGCAACGAUGCGUAGCCGACCUGAGAGGGUGAUCGGCCACACUGGGACUGAGACACGGCCCAGACUCCUACGGGAGGCAGCAGUAGGGAAUCUUCCGCAAUGGACGAAAGUCUGACGGAGCAACGCCGCGUGAGUGAUGAAGGCUUUCGGGUCGUAAAACUCUGUUGUUAGGGAAGAACAAGUGCUAGUUGAAUAAGCUGGCACCUUGACGGUACCUAACCAGAAAGCCACGGCUAACUACGUGCCAGCAGCCGCGGUAAUACGUAGGUGGCAAGCGUUAUCCGGAAUUAUUGGGCGUAAAGCGCGCGCAGGUGGUUUCUUAAGUCUGAUGUGAAAGCCCACGGCUCAACCGUGGAGGGUCAUUGGAAACUGGGAGACUUGAGUGCAGAAGAGGAAAGUGGAAUUCCAUGUGUAGCGGUGAAAUGCGUAGAGAUAUGGAGGAACACCAGUGGCGAAGGCGACUUUCUGGUCUGUAACUGACACUGAGGCGCGAAAGCGUGGGGAGCAAACAGGAU